rnacentral:lncRNA from 1 species
GGUACCGCAAGCCGGAGAGGGCGAGGGGUACUCACUAGUCAUGGAGAACUAGAUAGAUAUAAGUGCUGGUAAGUAAAGAUGCUGAUAAGUAGGGAGCUGACAAGUAUAGAUGCCAGUAAAUAAAACAGUAGCUACAAAAAAAACAGAUAAGGAUGUACUGGAAAUAAACACUACAGCUACUGUAUGCAUCCGUCAACUGACGAUAACCUCAAAAGUACCCAAUCUCGCUGUCCUAUUGGUCCGAAGACCUCACUGCUCACCCUGUACCUGACCCUCGCAAUGAAGCCCCUGGGUCAGAAGCAUAUCUCGCUGCCCUAUUGGUCUGAAGACCUCAGGCCCAUGCCACACUGCUCACCCUGUACCUGACCCUCGCAAUG